rnacentral:misc_RNA from 1 species
GAAUAUUAUUGUCUUACAAAUAUUUUAUGAUAAAAUGUAAUAUGCAUAAUUCCUUUUAUAAUCAAAUGAAAUAUUAAUUAUAAAAAAAAAAUCUUAUUAAUAAAUGGAAAUGGAAGUGAAGCUAUUGAUUGGAUUGUUAUAUGUGUAUGCUCUUGGCAAUGGAAAUGAAGCAGUUGGGGUCGCAGCUAGGACUUCAGAAUAAGGGGAAGAUGGAUGGAGCUGGAUUGUAUUAAAUAAUAAGAAGAAGAAGAAAAGCUACGUUGUAUGAGAUACAGGAGAGAGGGAUGAUCUGUUUUGUAAACUGC